rnacentral:rRNA from 1 species
CAGCAGUCAAGAAUAUUAGUCAAUGCUCGCUAGAGUGARCUAGCUAACUGAAAUCUGUGAUGUGUCAUCAAAGAUAACGUAAAGAAAAAUAAUGAUAUUACUUUACUACUAGUGUCGUCCAAAUACUCGUGCCAGAAGACUCGGUAAGGCGAGAGACGCAAACGUUAUUCGUCUUGAUCAGGCGUAAAGGGUGUGUAGGCUGCUUUAAGUAUUUAUAUUAAAUUUACUAUUAUAAACUCAAUAAUUUAAGUCAUAUUUUUACUUUUUAAAAUUUAAAAUUUAAAGACAAUUCUAAAUUAUCUUGUUUUAUAUUAUUAGUAUAGAUCAAUUAAGGCUAGAAUCUAAUGGAGGUUAAAACAAUACUUAAGGUAGGAGUACUAACCGUAAAUAUUAAGUAGAGUGUUAAUGGCGAAGGCUUUUAGCCACUAAAGAUUGACGCUGAGAAACGAAAGUGAGGGCAGAAAAAAGGAUUAGAGACCCUUGUAUUCCUCACUGUCAACGAUGAAUGGUAGUUACUAGUUAGGAAUUAACUAGAGGCGAUGUUAACACGAAAACCAUUCCGCCUUGUAAGUACAACUGCAAAGUUGAAAACAAAAAAAUUAGUCGGUUUCGGAGCAAACGAAGUGAAGCAUGUUAUUUAAUUCGAUAAUCCGC